rnacentral:rRNA from 1 species
UACGUAGGGGGCUAGCGUUGUUCGGAUUCAUUGGGCGUAAAGGGUGCGUAGGUGGCGCCAUAAGUCAGGUGUGAAAUCUCGGGGCUCAACCCCGAAACUGCAUUUGAUACUGUGGUGCUCGAGUACUGGAGAGGAGAUUGGAAUUUACGGUGUAGCAGUGAAAUGCGUAGAUAUCGUAAGGAAGACCAGUGGCGAAGGCGGAUCUCUGGACAGUUACUGACACUGAGGCACGAAGGCCAGGGGAGCAAACGGG